rnacentral:rRNA from 2 species
ACAGGGAUUGCCUCAGUAACGGCGAGUGAAGCGGCAACAGCUCAAAUUUGAAAUCUGGCCCUUUCAGGGUCCGAGUUGUAAUUUGUAGAGGAUGUUUCGGCGAGUGCUCCCGUCUAAGUUCCUUGGAACAGGACGUCAUAGAGGGUGAGAAUCCCGUAUGUGAUGGGUUGCGCGAGCCAUGUGAAACUCCUUCGACGAGUCGAGUUGUUUGGGAAUGCAGCUCUAAAUGGGAGGUAAAUUUCUUCUAAAGCUAAAUACCGGCCAGAGACCGAUAGCGCACAAGUAGAGUGAUCGAAAGAUGAAAAGCACUUUGGAAAGAGAGUUAAAAAGUACGUGAAAUUGUUGAAAGGGAAGCGCUUGCAACCAGACUUGCCCGCAGUUGCUCAACCCGCCUCCUGGCGGGUGUACUCUUCUGCGGUCAGGCCAGCAUCAGUUCGGGCGGCCGGAUAAAGGCGUCGGGAAUGUAGCUCCUCUCGGGGAGUGUUAUAGCCCGGCGCGACAUGCGGCCAGCCUGGACUGAGGAUCUCGCUUCGGCUAGGAUGCUGGCGUAAUGGUUGUAAGCGGCCCGUCUUGAAACACGGACCAAGGAGUCUAACAUCUAUGCGAGUGUUUGGGUGUCAAACCCAUGCGCGUAAUGAAAGUGAACGGAGGUGGGAACGCGCAAGCGUGCACCAUCGACCGAUCCUGAUGUCUUCGGAUGGAUUUGAGUAAGAGCAUAGCUGUUGGGACCCGAAAGAUGGUGAACUAUGCCUGAAUAGGGUGAAGUCAGAGGAAACUCUGAUGGAGGCUCGCAGCGGUUCUGACGUGCAAAUCGAUCGUCAAAUUUGGGUAUAGGGGCGAAAGACUAAUCGA